AAAUAAGCCUACGAAAACAAACUUACGAGGAUUCCCUNANUAACGGNGAGCGAACNGGGAGCAUCCCAACUUGAGAAUCAGGCGGCGUCNUNGCCCGAAUUGUAGUCUGUAGAAGCGUCUUCAGNGGCGGACNGGGUCCAAGUCCCNUAGAAGGGGGCGCUUGAGAGGGUGAGAGCCCCGUCAGGCCCAGACCCUGUCNCAUCACNGGGCGCUGUCGGCGAGUCAGGUUGUUUGGGAAUGCACCCUAAUUGGGUGGUAAAUUCUAUCCAAGGCUAAAUACGUGUGAGUGACCGAUANCGAACAAGUACCGNGAGGGAAAGAUGAAAAGGACUUUGAAAAGAGAGUUAAAGAGUGCUUGAAAUUAUCGGGAGGGAAGCAGAUGGAGGCCGGCGAUGCACCCUGUUANGAUGCGGAANGACGGUUGCCNGUCNGCCGCUCGGCUCGGGGUGCAGACNANCGNGGGCUACCGCGGCGGUAGGAUGGCGUGCGGGAGGCCGCGUGAUGCUCGGCCAUUGCGGUGGUCGAGGAAACGAANUGCGCACCUUNGGCAGGCCCUCGGGCACCUNCGCGCUCNUGGCGUUGGCUUGCGGGCUUUCCAUUCGACCCGUCUUGAAACACGGACCAAGGAGUCUAACAUGUGUGCGAGUCGGCGGGUUGCAAAACCCGUUAGGCACAAGGAAGCUGACUGGCAGGAUCUCCUNNCUGGGGGUGCANUNCCAACNGACCCUGANUNUUNUGUGAAGGGUUUGAGUGCGAACAUACCUGUUGGGACCCCAAAGAUGGUGAACUAUGCCUAAGCAGGGUGAAGCCAAAGGAAACUCUUGUGGAGGCCCGUAGCGAUACUGACGUGCAAAUCNUUCGUGUGACUUGGGUAUAGGGGCGAAAGACUAAUCGAACCGUCUAGUAGUNGGUUUCCNCNGAAGUUUCCCUCAGNAUAGNUNGAGCUCGCGUGUNAGUUUUAUCGGGUAAAGUAAAUGAUUAGAGGCAUCGGGGACGUAACGCCCUUGACCUAUUCUCAAACUUUAAAUAGGUAAGACGGCGCGGCUGCUCCGUUGAGCCGUGCCAUGGAAUCGAGAGUUUCAAGUGGGCCAUUUUUGGUAAGCAGAACUGGNGAUGCGGGAUGAACCGAAAGCUGAGUUACGGUGCCAGACUGCGCGCUAACCCAGAUCCCACAACAG
rnacentral:rRNA from 1 species